UAUGUGUCUUAAAAAUAACAAAGAAAAAAAUAUUCCUACCCAUCCAUGAACUAUCACAAUAAUCAUUAUAAUCAUAAAAGCCAAGCAGCAUCUCAAUCGUUCUCCUUCUCAUCCAACUUGUAAAGACAGACUAUUAGAGCUGAGACAAUAAUAAUAUUGCCAUGUUACCAUUUUGCCAAUUCGCAUCAUCGUUCCUUGUUCAAUCCAUCCACACACACAACACUUACCAAAUUACAAUACAAUUAACACAGUAGGGUUUUCCCAAAUUUUGACAAUUGUCAAAAGGCGUAAAAACGUUUCUUCCACGUCCUGAUAGGGAAUUGAAGUUAAGUUAAUACCUCUUAAUGCUAAAUACUCUAAUAAGCAAGCGCAGUCUUCUGCGACUAAACAAAAUUCAAGAAAAAGCAAAAGAGUAUAGUGAUUUGAAAAGUACAACUAAAAAUCCCUGUCUAAUCAAUAUAAAUGCACACUCGGCGCUUGUUUACCCUCCUCGGUUCCGAGGAGUUAGUUUUUAUGAGAUGACUAAGAAUGAAGUAUUUGUCUUUCACGUAUUGCCAAAUAGUGCGUUUUAGCAUGUGGAGGCAUAAGCCACAAUUAAAGGCGGAUUCAGACGUAGAAACAGAUAGAAUUCGCUAAUGUGCAGUUGCGCAUUUUUUAACCAAGAUAGCAAAUUACU